UAACUACUGUGUUUUUCUUUGAAAAAAAUCUGGCUUACCUACUAAUCACACUCACAAAAACAUAAUUGCUACCUUUCUCUUUCUCACAGUUGCAUAAACAAUCAUAAAAAAACAACUGCUUCCAUUCUAUUUCUCACAAUUGAAUGGUUUAGUUCUACACAAUUUAUUAAACAAUUAUUCAGAGAAAGGCCCCUCAAUGACACCGUUUGCUUCUAACUUCUCCAUCACUUUUUGAAAUUUAUAAGCACAUACUUAAUAUUGCUCUCCUGUCAUGAAGAAACAACCCACCAAUAGCGGUUUCCUGAGUGUUCCAUGGGGAGGCGUGGCCUAGAUAGUGAGAUAGGGAACCAGGGACAUCGCGUCACAUUCUUUUUCUAGGGUAAUGUGCAACAGGUAAAAUACAAACACCAACUUCAGUGCUUGCAGGUCGGGUUUUUAUGUACGACACACUUCAGAAAGGAUUUGGUGACCGAUGAUUGGAAUCCCUAGAGAAAUGUUGUUUCUUUUGAGCAAUUAAAUGUUGUUGUUGACUUUUGUCUUCCACAAUGAAUGGUUCCUUAAACAAUUAGUGCUCAUAACAGGUUUCUUAAUUAGCUUUUCACUCAAUUUUCUUUCCUUAAUAUUCUUAAGAUGCAUGGCUACGAAAUUGGGGUUUCAAAAAUGUGGCCAUGAAAAGUAUUUCACAUAAACCAUGGAGUGGCCAAACUGACCAAGGGGUCCAUGUCGUCAUUGCCCGUCUAUUCUCAUACUGGAUUUUGCAGCUAUUCAUUAUGGAGAGUAAAAUUGGUAAUGUUUUUCUGUUUUUUCUUCUGGCAGGAUUAAUGAAAUAAAAAUUGUCCCUUAUAGUUAUGUGGUCCUAUUCAUAAGAAAUUUUGGAUCGUGUUUUUACUUUAUGGUACGUUUUUAGGCGUAGCUAUUUUAGAACUAAAAUGUUUGUGAUCUUUUUUCCCAC